rnacentral:rRNA from 1 species
AACGAACGCUGGCGGCAUGCCUAACACAUGCAAGUCGAACGAGACCUUCGGGUCUAGUGGCGCACGGGUGCGUAACGCGUGGGAACCUGCCUUUAGGUUCGGAAUAACUCAGAGAAAUUUGAGCUAAUACCGGAUAAUGUCUUCGGACCAAAGAUUUAUCGCCUUUAGAUGGGCCCGCGUUGGAUUAGCUAGUUGGUGGGGUAAAGGCCUACCAAGGCGACGAUCCUUAGCUGGUCUGAGAGGAUGAUCAGCCACACUGGGACUGAGACACGGCCCAGACUCCUACGGGAGGCAGCAGUGGGGAAUAUUGGACAAUGGGCGAAAGCCUGAUCCAGCAAUGCCGCGUGAGUGAUGAAGGCCUUCGGU